GAAGGUUCUGGUCCUCGCCAUUGAGACUACCGUGUUCGUCGCCGAGUACAUCUGGUAUGUACGCAACGAACCUCCCUAAUGCAAUGUCGCUGCUGUUUAUUUCAUCUUUUGAUUGCGGCAGACUAUAUUCCACUAAGGCACAUUAGGGAGUAGCUUUGGGAUAGGGGCCAAACCUGCAUAUUUUGAUCAAUUAUUUUUAUUAGAUUAGCAAUGGGAGCUUACUGUUCAGUGAGGAUUUUCCCCCUUAAAGUCAUAUUGUUAAUAUCCAAAAAAUUUAAUGGGUGGGUGGUGAUGUCCCACUGCUUUGCCCUUUUAAUUCCAGCACUUAAAUAAGAAUUGGAGGGUAGACGUUGCACAAAUGGAUCAUGUGGCAUUUACUACUGUUGUAUUAUCAUAUCUAGCAUCUCUCUAUAAAAAAUAAAUCUAGCAUUAGUUUUGAACUUCUGAUGAUGUAAGGUAAACACAGAGGCAUAUCUUCGUCAUAGUUGCAUCCUUUAUAGCAGAGAUUUUGUUAUGAAAAAAUUAUUUUGUUGAUGGAAGCCUUUGUGCUUCUGUCACUUGGACGUGAAGUUUUUGUAGACAAUCUUAGGACGUGAAGUGGGAUGCAACAUCUAUAGAUCUACUGACACUGAAAGGUGGUUGUUAGUUAGGUUCUGAUUGUGCCAAUCAAUAAUACACAAUUGUUACUAGGGUUCGGCUACGGAUGCCAUCCAUCAACUCAUGUUUUAAAGUGUGCUUGUGAGAUGCAAUCCGAUCUCUCUAUCUUUCCCGCUGAGAUGCAGAGGAGCUCGGUGUUUUAGGGCCUGGCUGUUGCUGCAGGGGAAGGUGGAGCUGCGAGGAAACAAGACAGGUGGACAAUGCGACAGGAAGCAAGAAUGAAUUUCUAAUCAAUCUACUGUUUCCCUUGAGUCGGGGGGAACGUACCACGCACCACGUUGUGUUUAUUGAUCUGGAAUCCUAGAGGAUCACCCACCCUCGUAAUUCAGUAUUGAGAUGAUCUCCUUAAUUUCUCAAAUGUGUUUUAUUAAAUUGGAUUCCUGUAAUUAUCCUUGCUCUAAUUUGAUAGUUUUACCCUCCCGAGCAUGUUGUGCUUCCAUAAAAACAUGAAUAUUUCUCAGCCAUUUUAUUGAAAAUGUAGUCGUAUGCUUUCACAUUGACUCUGGAUAUUCUCCUAAACGAAGGUCAAGAACAAUUGAUUUUAUCGGCAACAGGAGGCGCUUAUCAGUCGCCAUCAAGUGCCUCAACCAGUGCGGCGUCCAGGUACACACAUUGCUUCAUCUCCUGUGCUAUCUCAUCGUCUAGACAAUAUAUCCAUGGGUGACCCCUAUACUCACCUCAUCUCCAGAUUAGAACAUAAGUGUCGUAGGAGGGUAGGAUCUAGGCAACUGCAGUACUGAUUGUCCAGCUAGGCAACAAAGUCGACGGGGCAAAUAACAUAAUCUUCAGAUAAAGUUAUAUUCGAAAGUCAGUAGGCUUUUCAUGAUUGCCAGUGGUAAAACAAGCAUAUAUUUCUUUUGAUUAUUGACAUAGCACAGCUUAGUAGGGUGGACCAACCAACAUUGGGUUUGGGAGGUCAUUUAAUAGGAAACACUUCGCUGCAAGUUUCUUCACCAUUGAACACAAUUCAUCACAAGACUUUAUAUAUGUUGGCUGUCAUGCAUGUACGUCUGCAACUAAAUAAUUACAGGAUGUUGUGUGCUUGUUCUAUGUCCAGCAGUAAAGAUGUUUGAAGUUUUGUACCAGUUUCCAAUAGAUCAUUUCCUACAACAAUAUUUGUUUUGCAAUCCAAACAAGUAAAUGUCUUGUAAAGAAGUAGAUGUUUCUACAUAUCAACACACCAUUCAAGUUAUUUACAGAAUGAUUUUCUUGGAGCGUUCAUAAUUUCAUGUAUGUUUACAUCAUUAUUCAUGUGUGGGUUGUAUUGUGUUUUCUUUCGUGGGGUGCCGGACACGCUACUGACGGUACUAGCAUGUUUGGGCUGGGGAGACAGAGAUGGUAUGCGGAGUAAGAAGAGUGAUUUAAGGGGAGAGAAAUCAUAACAGGGGUUGGUGGAGCAGAAGAGGGUGAAGGAAGACUUGUGGGGAGCUGCGAGGAAUAGAUUUUGGGGUAUGUUACUAUUUUAUGUGUGAUAUCAGUUCAUAAUUUACUGCAGCGGUCAGUUCUCUACUUUCUAUGUACUAGGUUAAUUCUAUUUGCUAGCCUGAAGUGUUUUUUCUAUAGCAACUAAAUAUUGUGAAAGUAACCCUGAAACAUACACACAUCUACUAAAUGCAAAAUUGUUUCUCUGUUGGUACGAACAAUCAUGUAGAUUACUGCAUGUAGUUUCGUUUUGCACACAACAUACUCUCCAGUAGUGCUGAAAUUAGAAUCUCAAUCCCUGUCCAUUAUACAAGAUGCAAAAGAGUUCAGAAUAAGAUAUCCAUCAUCAUAUUCACGCAUUUUCUGUUGUAAUAUAUAUUUUGUAUUUGUGUACAGGUUGACACAUUACACAUACAUACAGUAUGUCUAACUUAUGCAGAAGAAAAGGGGCCCUUCAUAUAAAUUAUUUGCAUGCUCAUAGUUAUGAACUUAAUACACUUUGCCUGGCAUUCAUAACCAUUAUACUUCCUCCUGCCCAAAUUUGUUGUCCUACGUAAUAGUGUUCCACUUUGCGCCUACCACUGGUAGCUGGAAAUUAGAUAUAAUAAUAAUCAGUUUCCUUGCUAGAUUUGUUUCCUUAUAGGAUAUCCUGCCGAUUUGAUCUAUUUUUGGCUAGAGCACAUGGGAUCAAACCAGAGGUAAUCAAUUUUCUAUGUUCACCUGAUUAGUUAUAAGGAAUUUAUUACCUCUGUUUUAUUUCCAGGAUACCCAAACCAGUGGUAAUGUUUUUUAUGGCUUUGAAAUUCUGUACAAGGUAUUCUCAUGUCUAAAUACUAGAAUUGUUUGUUCAUUGCUAAAUUGUUAAUGAGGGGUCCAUGUAGUGCUCUCAGUGGAGACACUAGACCAUCUGAUGUUCAUUUAGACAUUUCUAUUCAAACUUUCAAAGUGAUUGUUUUCUUUUUGUGUGUCCACACAGUUGUUUGUGUGCAUCCAAUAUAAAACUUGCUAUGAAUUUGCACCACCUACACCCUUUUUCCAUGUCUUAGUCUAUAUGAAUUACCCACUUUAUAUACCGCAAAAAGAAAUUACCCACUUUAUAAUAACUCACAUGUUAAUUAAAAGGAAAAAGAUCUGAACCAUCGACACUCUAUAAGUUAAGUUGUUCAACUAAAAUUUAACAAAGAGAUAUUUGAUUCCAUGGAUCUCUAAUUUUUCUGCAGUGUUGUAAUUAUAUUGUCUCGGGUGUUGUUGUACGUUCCUUGUAUCAUGUUGACUUACUCCUUGAUCAAUAGGGAUGUGGAUACAAAAUUCCAUUUUCCACUACUUAUAUUAUCCUCAUUGGACCUUAAGCUAUAAUCAUCGGUUGUUGUUGUGUGUCUGCCUGCCUGGCAAUGUUUCACCUCUAUUUUUGACCUACUGUUGACUUAUUUGGAACCUGAGAAAGAAUUAUUUUACAUGUUAGAGUACUCUCAUAUGUUCGAAGUCAUAAAACCAGCUGAGAUAAUGAAAUAAUGCCAGGUAAUUACUCGUGGUUUCAAGGUUGCGCAAAGGAGAGGAGGCAUGGUUAUAGGUCCUCGACAACAUCUGCGCCUCAUAGGUCAGCCAUGAUUCUCGGAUUUUUUUGUUCUGCUGUUAUUCCCAAAGAAACAUCGUAGUUCUUUUGGAUGGUGAAAGAUUAUUCAGUUACUGAAAUACUUCUUAUCCAAAGAGCUGGGAAUAUUUAAAACAUCUAAAUUGCUUAUCUCAACACUAUAAUAGAAAGUACUAUCUCGAAAAUAAUAACAAAACACCGUGAUAAACUGGGCACCGAAGCCAUAUUGACACAGACCCAUGAUCAAUGAUAUGUGAGCCAAGUCUUCCCGUGAACUUACAGCCACCCAUUGAGUGCAUGAUUUCUUCCAUCUCCUUUUCUUUUGUUUUCCAGGGCAGAUAUUCCACUGUGCAUCGUAUUUGACCAUACUUAACCAAGUUGAUUCAUAUCAAUUAGUAUCUUUUGGUUUUCUUCCAGUUUAUUAGGCAUGGACCCAGCCACAAAUUCUGAAGCUUCAAUAAUUUGGGUGGUCUAAUAGUUCCUGUAUAGCUUGAUGUCAUAUCAGGUGUAAUAUUUUGUUGUUGCUUGAUGUUGCAUCAAGACAAGCUAGGGUCAACAAGGAACAAAGGGGUUGACACAUGGAGAAGCGGGAGCAUAAAAUUCAAAAGGUACUGAACAUGUGUAUGGAUUACACCGGUGAGUGAAUGGUGUGGCACAUUGAGUCAGAGAGGAGUAGUUGCUUGUCUGGUAUGAAAAACAGUUGUUUCUCGAUUAGAUUAAGGCCAAACUUAUCUUCAACAUGUGUGGUCUUUCAUCACCAUUUUAAAAGAGGUUCAAUGCAAAAUCCUAAGACUGCCAAUUUUUACUAUAUUGGAAGUACUUUAUCGAUACGUUUGGAACAAUUCUCAGAUUCCAUGAAACAUAUUCGUGGCACCAAUUUUAACUAAAGAAUAAAUCAAUC
rnacentral:lncRNA from 1 species